rnacentral:ncRNA from 1 species
AUCUUCGGGGUAAGGUGAAAUUCCUGACCGGCGGUGAUGGCUCUGUUCCUUCGCGAACGAGCCUCAGCCCGCGACUCGCUGCGUUCAGUUUGCAACAUGAAUGAGCGACUGACUUGGUGCAAUUCCAAGGCCGACGGUAAAGUCCGGAUGGGAGAAGAU